GUUUGUCUUACUUCGUCUGUAGUGGCUGAUGGUGAAUAAAAACAAGCAGACCCACCUCAUCCUUAUCCGUGAGAUGUGACUCAGGCAGGUGAACCAGACUGCACCGCUGUCCGCUGUCGCACCGGUUAAAGGACUGUGGGAGAACAGGGGAGGCACAUCCAUUUCUGAGCAGCUGGCAGCACCACGUGGAGCCCAAGGCCCUGCGUAAACACAGCAACCCGGGAAGAGGGCUUGAUGCCCCUUCCUCCACCGGCCACCAAGCUCUUGCACUGUAAUGACUACUGUUGUCCAGGUUGGCAACAUUUUACAUUUCAGCAUCUCACAAAGUUGAUAAGUAAUUAUCUACACAUCACAGUUCUCCAUUAA